GGACCCCAAGUCAAGACCAACAAUGGAUGAGGUAGUCACAGCUCUAGAGCAGCUACAAGAGUCCAAGGAUCGCGUGAAAAAUGAUAAAAACAAGGAUCAACAGUUGAAUCGACUUAGCAGUCAAUCAAGUGGUGAGCUCAACAAGUCAUUCAGAAGCAAUUCAGAAGAGACUCCGCGAGUAGCCAGUUAUCCCAGACCUUCAGCUCCCCUUCGCU
rnacentral:misc_RNA from 1 species